GCCGCUAUAGCUCAGUGGUAGAGCACUGGUCUGUUAAACCCCAGGGGUCGUGAGUUCAAACCUCACUGGCGGCA
rnacentral:tRNA from 1 species